rnacentral:rRNA from 1 species
GACGAACGCUGGCGGCGUGCUUAACACAUGCAAGUCGAACGAUGAAGCUGGAGCUUGCUCUGGUGGAUUAGUGGCGAACGGGUGAGUAACACGUGAGUAACCUGCCCCGAACUCUGGGAUAACUGCUGGAAACGGUAGCUAAUACCGGAUAUGACCAAUGAAGGCAUCUUCUGUUGGUGGAAAGAAUUUCGGUUCGGGAUGGACUCGCGGCCUAUCAGCUUGUUGGUGAGGUAACGGCUCACCAAGGCGACGACGGGUAGCCGGCCUGAGAGGGUGAUCGGCCACACUGGGACUGAGACACGGCCCAGACUCCUACGGGAGGCAGCAGUGGGGAAUAUUGCACAAUGGGCGCAAGCCUGAUGCAGCAACGCCGCGUGAGGGACGACGGCCUUCGGGUUGUAAACCUCUUUUAGUAGGGAAGAAGCGGAAGUGACGGUACCUGCAGAAAAAGCACCGGCUAACUACGUGCCAGCAGCCGCCGUAA